CGGACGGGUGAGUAAUGUCUGGGAAACUGCCUGAUGGAGGGGGAUAACUACUGGAAACGGUAGCUAAUACCGCAUAAUGUCGCAAGACCAAAGAGGGGGACCUUCGGGCCUCUUGCCAUCGGAUGUGCCCAGAUGGGAAAAUUAGCUUGUUGGUGGGGUAACGGCUCACCAAGGCGACGAUCCCUAGCUGGUCUGAGAGGAUGACCAGCCACACUGGAACUGAGACACGGUCCAGACUCCUACGGGAGGCAGCAUG
rnacentral:rRNA from 1 species